UCCAGAGCUCGCUCAGCUGCUGCCCAGCCUCGGCUGUGAGGAUAGGCUGGCUGGGCAGCACGUCUCUCCCCACAGGGCUCCCUGAGACCACCAGGAAGAGCCCCCAACCAAUCUUGGGAUUCUCCCUUCGUGCGGUUGUCUGGGACCUUUUUCCAGGGUCAAAGCAGAUUGUGAGGAGGAAGCUGAGAUGCCCUGUAUCCAAGCCCAAUAUGGGACACCAGCACCGAGUCCAGGACCCCAUGACCACCUGGCAAGCGACCCCCUGACCCCUGAGUUCAUCAAGCCCACCAUGGACCUGGCCAGCCCCGAGGCAGCCCCCACUGCCCCCACUGCCCUGCCCAGCUUCAGCACCUUCAUGGACGGCUACACAGGAGAGUUUGACACCUUCCUCUACCAGCUGCCGGGAACAGUCCAGCCAUGCUCCUCAGCCUCCUCCUCGGCCUCCUCCACAUCCUCGUCCUCAGCCACCUCCCCUGCCUCUGCCUCCUUCAAGUUCGAGGACUUCCAGGUGUACGGCUGCUACCCCGGCCCCCUGAGUGGCCCAGUGGAUGAGGCCCUGUCCUCCAGUGGCUCUGACUACUAUGGCAGCCCCUGCUCGGCCCCGUCGCCCUCCACGCCCAGCUUCCAGCCACCCCAGCUCUCUCCCUGGGAUGGCUCAUUCGGCCACUUCUCGCCCAGCCAGACUUACGAAGGCCUGCGGGCAUGGACAGAGCAGCUGCCCAAAGCCUCUGGGCCCCCACAGCCUCCAGCCUUCUUUUCCUUCAGUCCUCCCACCGGCCCCAGCCCCAGCCUGGCCCAGAGCCCCCUGAAGUUGUUCCCCUCACAGGCCACCCACCAGCUGGGGGAGGGAGAGAGCUAUUCCAUGCCUACGGCCUUCCCAGGUUUGGCACCCACUUCUCCACACCUUGAGGGCUCGGGGAUACUGGAUGCACCCGUGACCUCAACCAAGGCCCGGAGCGGGGCCCCAGGUGGAAGUGAAGGCCGCUGUGCUGUGUGUGGGGACAACGCUUCAUGCCAGCAUUAUGGCGUCCGCACAUGUGAGGGCUGCAAGGGCUUCUUCAAGGUACCGCGCAGCCCCAGGUGGGGCCUUUUGUUGGAAAUGGAGAGAGGCUGGCCUCAUCCCAUUGGGACCUGUGGUCUCCCCCUGGGUUCUCCUCCUAGCUAAGUCCUGUCCUGCAGGGUGGGAUCAGCCCUGCCAGGUGGGCCGCCUUCCUGGAGACCCGUAGAUGCCAGGGCUGGAAGCUUUCAUUUGCCGGGACACUCGGGCCCAUGGGAUUGCACAGAGCUGGAGGGAGGGGUGAGAUAGGGGCAGAUAGGAGCUGCAGGGGUGCCUGGCGAGCCUCUGGUUUUCCUCUGCUCCUCUGCCUGUCCUCUCCCAACUCAAGGUUCUAGUGGGAAGGGGUGCCCCCAGGCUCUCAUGUUCCUGGCGUGAGAUGAAAGGAUCCCUGCAGAGGGUUUGGUUCCUGAGGGCUGGGGGUGGACUUGGGAACAGGCUGUGUGUUUGUCCCAGUGAUGGUGCCUGCUUAGCUUCCCGUCCCCACCCCCCAGCCCCUUGGCCCUCUCCUGUCUGCCCUAGGGAGAGGGCAGGUGGACAAGGGCCCAUGAAAAAAUACAGGUGUCUAGACUGCCAGGGAGACCCUGGCCCCCAGUAGUGUGUCCUGGGGACUUCCUCAGAGUGAGAAACCUCCCCCAAUGUCUUCAAGACUUUUCUCUCCACCCCCCCCAACCCCCUAUCUCUCCCUCCCUUGCCACCCAAAUGUUAGAAAAAUAGCUGUGAACAGAGAGCGCUUUUGUCUGCAAUGGCAGCAGGAUCUGGACGGUCC
rnacentral:sRNA from 1 species